CUGUGUGCUAAAAACCAAAAACAUCAAGGACAAUUAAACAAAUAUAUUGGACAGUUGAUACAACACAUCACAGAGAAGACAGAUCGUAUCACACAGCUGAUACAAUACAUCACAGAGACGAUAGAUCAUAUCACACAGGUGAUACAAUACAUCAUACAGCUGAUACAAUACAUCAUACAAUACAUCAUACAGCUGAUACAAUACAU